UUUACAGAAGGACAAACAGAG
ensembl:piRNA 21ur-399 ncRNA